UACGGAGGGUGCAAGCGUUAUCCGGAUUCACUGGGUUUAAAGGGUGCGUAGGUGGGCAGGUAAGUCAGUGGUGAAAUCUCCGGGCUUAACCCGGAAACUGCCGUUGAUACUAUUUGUCUUGAAUAUUGUGGAGGUAAGCGGAAUAUGUCAUGUAGCGGUGAAAUGCUUAGAUAUGACAUAGAACACCAAUUGCGAAGGCAGCUUACUACGCAGAGAUUGACGCUCAUGCACGAAAGCGUGGGGAUCAAACAGG
rnacentral:rRNA from 1 species